GCCCCUCUCUGUAACAGUAAAGCACGUCUCUCGCGGUCACACCUGAAGCAGACACCCCCCCGACGCCUCCCCGAGACAGGGGGGAGACUGUCGCAAGGAAAUAACCGAGGAGAGGAAGCUGAGCGGCUAGCUCAACUGAAGUAACACAGAGCAAGAAUCACGACUUGAUUGUUUCACCGCUGUUUUGAGCACUGUGGUGGGCGGGAGGGGGCAGUGCGGCUAACCUCAUCCCACACAGGCAGGAGUGGCGGUUUUUUCCCGGAGAGCGAAUUGGAGAAACGUUUCGCAACGGCUGUGCGGAGUGUCACCAGCGAGUGAGUGAGCGGGGCCCGACUCAAGCGAGCUGUCGCAAAGGCCAACUGGCUUCUGGAAGAGGCUUCUGGCACUCGAGCUCAGCAUGGCCGGCCUUCGGUGCGGUGAGGGCAGAGGCCACUUCAAGAUGAGCAAAUGUAGCGAAGAUGUUCUGGGCCGCCUCCCAGGAUGAUGCUCAGUGCCUCGGGACAGAAACUUGCAGGCAGCUGCAUGAGAGCCUGCAUGAACCAGACGCUUCUGUGUUUGUGCCUCCUCUGUUUUGGGCUUGGUGUUGUGUCAGGUGGAGGGUUUCUCUCUGCUGAGACUGCACAAUGUACUAAUAGCACUAACAGCAGGUACCCUCACAUAAGGGUCUCUAUAGGAUCCCCCAAACACAUAUAGGAACCCCCUUCUUAACACAUUUGAUGCUGCUAUUAUACAGUUGGUUGUACUAUUUCAUUUUGGGUGGAAAUGUGGCACCAAUUACAGAAAAAGGCCUUUUCUUUGCAAUCUGCUGCAGUCGGACAUAAAGGGAUUCAAAUAUUUAGGGAUCAUCCUGGGGCCUUGGGCCUGGGGCCUUUUUAUUUGGUGUUCUUCUGGCUGUUUUGAAAUGUGCUGCCCACAUUUUCUGUCAACAUGAAUUGGCCCUCAUGGGCUCAGUUACUCUUAGGUGUCUCUCCAGCAGGGACAGAAUGGGAAUUACUCUGUCCUCCUGACCACUUUGAAGCCAUGAAUUUGAAUGUCCCCUUCAGCUGUCCUUCUUCUCUCAUGCAGGGUGAGAAACAGUGACACGGGCUGUCCUGGUGAUUCACCUCACAGGUGCACGGCUGAGACACUAGUAAGGCAGGCUCAAGGCUAUCCCUCAAUCACUAACCAGGCUGCCUCUCAUUCCUGCAAUAUGGAGAAGGCAGCCAUACCUGCCUGUGACCUUCGUGGUUGUUUUUCAUUUUUAAUAUUGCAAAGUGGGCUUUUUGCGUUACUAUGACAAUAACUGUAAGCUAGUGCAGGGCAGGGAACCCCAGCUCAUCCUCCGCUCUGUGGCUGCUUGAAGACCUGAAGCUUCUGAUUAAAAAUUAAAAUGCAAGUACUUGCUGUUAAUGUCAUGGGUGUCAAAGUGGGAGUGAGGCAGGUACAUGUCACCCAGUAUGCUCUACCAAGUUUCAUUACUCAACACUGUACAUACUGAAACUCUCAUGAGCAUGUUGCGCCCUAGAAACCUUAUUUUUCGAUCUAGAUUAAUAAAUGAAAAUGAAAAAUCACUGUUUCAUAUAUUUCUUGCAAAUUGUAAUAACGUAAGUCACAAUAAAAAUCAUCAAUUGACUAA